GACGAACGCUGGCGGCGUGCUUAACACAUGCAAGUCGAACGGAAAGGCCCUGCUUUUGUGGGGUGCUCGAGUGGCGAACGGGUGAGUAACACGUGAGUAACCUGCCCUUGACUUUGGGAUAACUUCAGGAAACUGGGGCUAAUACCGGAUAGGAGCUCCUGCUGCAUGGUGGGGGUUGGAAAGUUUCGGCGGUUGGGGAUGGACUCGCGGCUUAUCAGCUUGUUGGUGGGGUAGUGGCUUACCAAGGCUUUGACGGGUAGCCGGCCUGAGAGGGUGACCGGCCACAUUGGGACUGAGAUACGGCCCAGACUCCUACGGGAGGCAGCAGUGGGGAAUAUUGCACAAUGGGCGGAAGCCUGAUGCAGCAACGCCGCGUGCGGGAUGACGGCCUUCGGGUUGUAAACCGCUUUCGCCUGUGACGAAGCGUGAGUGACGGUAAUGGGUAAAGAAGCACCGGCUAACUACGUGCCAGCAGCCGCGGUGAUACGUAGGGUGCGAGCGUUGUCCGGAUUUAUUGGGCGUAAAGGGCUCGUAGGUGGUUGAUCGCGUCGGAAGUGUAAUCUUGGGGCUUAACCCUGAGCGUGCUUUCGAUACGGGUUGACUUGAGGAAGGUAGGGGAGAAUGGAAUUCCUGGUGGAGCGGUGGAAUGCGCAGAUAUCAGGAGGAACACCAGUGGCGAAGGCGGUUCUCUGGGCCUUUCCUGACGCUGAGGAGCGAAAGCGUGGGGAGCGAACAGGCUUAGAUACCCUGGUAGUCCACGCUGUAAACGGUGGGUACUAGGUGUGGGGUCCAUUCCACGGGUUCCGUGCCGUAGCUAACGCUUUAAGUACCCCGCCUGGGGAGUACGGCUGCAAGGCUAAAACUCAAAGGAAUUGACGGGGCCCCGCACAAGCGGCGGAGCAUGCGGAUUAAUUCGAUGCAACGCGUAGAACCUUACCUGGGUUUGACAUGGAUCGGGAGCGCUCAGAGAUGGGUGUGCCUCUUUUGGGGUCGGUUCACAGGUGGUGCAUGGCUGUCGUCAGCUCGUGUCGUGAGAUGUUGGGUUAAGUCCCGCAACGAGCGCAACCCUUGUUCACUGUUGCCAGCACGUUAUGGUGGGGACUCAGUGGAGACCGCCGGGGUCAACUCGGAGGAAGGUGGGGAUGACGUCAAGUCAUCAUGCCCCUUAUGUCCAGGGCUUCACGCAUGCUACAAUGGCUGGUACAGAGAGUGGCGAGCCUGUGAGGGUGAGCGAAUCUCGGAAAGCCGGUCUCAGUUCGGAUUGGGGUCUGCAACUCGACCUCAUGAAGUCGGAGUCGCUAGUAAUCGCAGAUCAGCAACGCUGCGGUGAAUACGUUCCCGGGGCU
rnacentral:rRNA from 1 species